UACGAAGGGGGCUAGCGUUGUUCGGAUUUACUGGGCGUAAAGCGCGUGUAGGCGGAUCGUUAAGUCGGGGGUGAAAGCCCAGAGCUCAACUCUGGAAUUGCCUUCGAUACUGGCGGUCUGGAGCAGAGAAGAGGCGAGUGGAAUUCCGAGUGUAGAGGUGUAAUUCGUAGAUUAUCGGAGGAAAAGCAGUGGCGAAGGCGGCGCGCUGGUUUCUUGUUGACGCUGAGUCGCGAAAGCGUGGAGAGCAAACAGG
rnacentral:rRNA from 1 species